CCAUCGACUGGGUUACGAGCUGAGUGCCACUCCGAAAAGGGUUGUCUUCCGCUCUCCCUACAGACAAAAUCACUCGGAAAUCAUAAUGGUUGACGGUGUUGCGGUGGAGGUCAUUCACGGGACAGUGUUCUUCAGUCAGAAAAUGAUGGUGGUCAUGAUUGACAUAUCUGUGGCCUGCACCAUAAACCCAGGAUACUUUGACGGGGUCAGGCUACUCUGGGAGACCCCCAGGAUCAUGACACCGUUGGUUCACAGCGGCUUUGGCUUUGAGAGCA